UUAUCCCGUAUCUCAAAGUAUACGAGCUUACUUAUGUAUCGGUAUUCUGGAUUGGAUGCUUAAUUAUUUGGACAAGUUGUUAGCCGAGGAAGAAACACAAUUUGUGGAUUUACUAUUAAAUUUGCUUAGCGCUGUCAUAAAUAAAGCGGUUUUCUCUCAUCAAGAUCGAAUUGAUAGACUUAUUAACCUGGAGAACCAAAUUUCGAAUAUUUUUUUGACUUUCAAUACUGAUGCCGAUGAAAAUGAUAUGUAUAAGAAAAUUGAGGAGGAGAUCAAUAAACUGAAACUUGAGGAAAUGGUAUUCAGAGAGAAACGACUUUACAUACCGAAUUCCAAAUUUAUUUUCAAUAAAGCUCGUUCACUUGUUCACAAAUUAAGUAAUGUUAAUCAUAAUCGAUUUUUACAUACUUUAUCAGAACUGUCUGAACAGUUAAAUAGUUAAAAGCAGACGAGAUAUAAUUUAUCUGUAUCAAGAAAGUUUGUCAAAAAAGUUUGAGAAUAACUCAGAAAAUACAAUAUAA